UGGGUGAGUAACGCGUGGGUAACCUGCCCUUAAGUCUGGGAUACCAUUUGGAAACAGAUGCUAAUACCGGAUAAAAGCUACUUUCGCAUGAAAGAAGUUUAAAAGGCGGCGUAAGCUGUCGCUAAAGGAUGGACCUGUUAUGCAUUAGCUAGUUGGUAAGGUAACGGCUUACCAAGGCGAUGAUGCAUAGCCGAGUUGAGAGACUGAUCGGCCACAUUGGGACUGAGACACGGCCCAAACUCCUACGGGAGGCAGCAGUC
rnacentral:rRNA from 1 species